UACGAGGGGGGCGAGCGUUGUUCGGAAUUAUUGGGCGUAAAGGGUGCGUAGGCGGUUUGGUAAGUCUCGUGUGAAAUCUACAGGCUCAACUUGUAGUCUGCACGAGAAACUGCCGGGCUUGAGUAUGGGAGAGGUGAGUGGAAUUCCUGGUGUAGCGGUGAAAUGCGUAGAGAUCCGGAAGAACACCGGUGGCGAAGGCGGCCUGCUGGGCAGUAGCUGACGCUGAGGCGCGACAGCGUGGGGAGCAAACAGG
rnacentral:rRNA from 1 species